rnacentral:lncRNA from 1 species
GCCAACAACAGAGCAAGGCAUGAUCUCCAACAGUCCACCACAUUGCCAUACUCUGAAAGACAUUUCUAUAUUUUCACCUCCCCAUAUUUCCAUUUCAUCAUCAUAGCUUCCAAUGUGUUCAAAAUACUCUUUUGAUAUUGAAAAGAGACCUCCAGCAAAAGUAGGUGUUCUGAUUGGAUAGGUUUCAUCUUUUCUUCUUUUAUUUUCAUAUUUAGGAAGAGACUCCCAUCCAAAUGACAAACUCCAGUCAAAAUUUCCUCUAUUGUGGUUAUGCCCAUAAGGAGAUGGUUUACUAAAUUCAAAAGUAUUGAGAUCGAUAGAAGCAAUAUCAGGGCUUACAACAGCAACAGAAUUCUCAGCUAUUCUUGCCAGCAAUGGUUCUAACCAGCCAUAGAAGCAUUCACCUAUAGAAAA